rnacentral:tRNA from 1 species
UUAAUGUAGCUUAAACUUAAAGCAAGGCACUGAAAAUGCCUAGAUGAGCCUACUGACUCCAUGAACA